rnacentral:tRNA from 1 species
GCAUCCAUGGCUGAAUGGUUAAAGCGCCCAACUCAUAAUUGGCGAACUCGCGGGUUCAAUUCCUGGCUG